AUAUUUUUAAUACUUGUUAUUAUUAUUUCAAUGUCAUUCAAUGUUCUAAUUGUAUUAAUUUAUUUUUAAUAGUAUAAUAUGAAAUAUUUAAAUAAUACAACUUAGGAACCAUGUUUUGCUGUAUAAGUAGUGGGUCAUGUAUGUUGCAUAUAACAUUGGUGAAAAACUGUCGUUGAGUGAAUAUUCUAGUUUGCUCUUAGCUAAUGAAUAGAACAAGUACCCUUAUUCGACGUUUAUGAUAAAAAAAAAAAAAAAAAAAACACGAUGACUGAUACCUACACUGAUAGGCAAUUAAUAUCAAACAUCGUCGUAAAAUCAAUACAAUUGCGUUGCUCAGAAUCUAAAAUAUACAUUUUCUAAAUGUUAAAACAAUAUUCACUUUUUAACGGUAACACAAUUUCAGAAUACAGAUGUCAAAGACUAUAAUAUGUUAUGUCUUACAAUUGCUUGGAUUAACCACAUAUUCAAUUUAGACCCCAAAUAAAUUCGUUUGCUUAACAUAGAAUGGUGGUGGGUGGCAAUCAAACGCUUCAGUUUACAUAUCCAUCAUUCUCAUAAUGUACAAUACAUUGAAAUAUACAAAUCAAGAUCAUAAGACGUAUGAACGAUUUGUGGUUAUAUUUAUCUAAGUCGACGAGUAAGCCAUUAUAGAAACAAAAAGCUAAUAGAUGAGAUUAUGUUUUGAUUAUAAUUUAUAAUAUACAAUGUGAGAGUCAUUAUGGGGAUUAUAUGGAGUAUAGAGUAUACCUAUAGACCACUAACCACACGUAGAAAUAUUGUCUUGACUUUGGACUUUCUCAACAAUAACGAUAGUGGUCAAAUAUAGCUAAUAUUUGUAUUAAAUAUAGAACUCAGUCAUAAAUCAUACACAAAAAUAAUAUCUAUGUAGAAUAAUAAUUAUAAAACGAUUUAAUUUGAAUACCACAACUCACUUGUUUUAAGAUAUUAUAUCUAAUAUACGUUAAAUAUCAAACUAGUGUAGCAGGUAAUGGACGACUCAUUUUACAUAAAAGGAAUAUUUGUAAAUUUUUAUUAUAG